UACGAAGGGGGCUAGCGUUGCUCGGAAUCACUGGGCGUAAAGCGCACGUAGGCGGCCUCUUAAGUCGGUGGUGAAAUCCUGGAGCUCAACUCCGGAACUGCCUUCGAUACUGAGAGUCCUGAGUCCGGGAGAGGUGAGUGGAACUGCGAGUGUAGAGGUGAAAUUCGUAGAUAUUCGCAAGAACACCAGUGGCGAAGGCGGCUCACUGGCCCGGUACUGACGCUGAGGUGCGAAAGCGUGGGGAGCGAACAGG
rnacentral:rRNA from 1 species